CCUACGGGCGGCAGCAGUGAGGAAUAUUGGUCAAUGGACGAGAGUCUGAACCAGCCAAGUAGCGUGAAGGAUGACUGCCCUAUGGGUUGUAAACUUCUUUUAUAUGGGAAUAAAACGUUCCACGUGUGGGAUUUUGUAUGUACCAUAUGAAUAAGGAUCGGCUAACUCCGUGCCAGCAGCCGCGGUAAUACGGAGGAUCCGAGCGUUAUCCGGAUUUAUUGGGUUUAAAGGGAGCGUAGGUGGACUGUUAAGUCAGUUGUGAAAGUUUGCGGCUCAACCGUAAAAUUGCAGUUGAAACUGGCAGUCUUGAGUACAGUAGAGGUGGGCGGAAUUCGUGGUGUAGCGGUGAAAUGCUUAGAUAUCACGAAGAACUCCGAUUGCGAAGGCAGUUCACUGGACUGCAACUGACACUGAGGCUCGAAAGUGUGGGUAUCAAACAGGAUUAGAUACCCUUGUAGUC
rnacentral:rRNA from 1 species